rnacentral:rRNA from 1 species
CACGUAGGGCGCAAGCGUUGUCCGGAAUUAUUGGGCGUAAAGAGCUCGUAGGCGGUCUGUUGCGUCCGCUGUGAAAACUCGGGGCUUAACCCCGAGCCUGCAGUGGAUACGGGCAGACUAGAGGUAGGUAGGGGAGAAUGGAAUUCCCGGUGUAGCGGUGAAAUGCGUAGAGAUCCGGAAGAACACCGGUGGCGAAGGCGGCCUGCUGGGCAGUUGCUGACACUGAGGCGCGACAGCGUGGGGAGCAAACAGG